UUCUCCAGGCCUAAUGGACAAUCUGCAGAAGCAGCUGUCGCCAGCCUCAAGUGCUCACCUGGACCUGCUUCUAGAGGCUGUGGUGAUGAGGGUCAGGCCACAGGGCAUGCGGCUCCUCUGAAGCAGUUUCCUGGUCGUGUUUAGAGGCUGGGAGCCUUGAGAGGUCUCCAGAAGUGACUCAUUGCAUAACUGGAAGUUUGUACCCUUUGACCAGCAUCUCCCUAUUUCCUCUGCUCCUUGAUCACUGGCCUUUGGGUUUCGUCUGGACUACAUCAUCAACUUUCCUGGGUCUCCAGCUUAAGACGGCAGAUCGCAUGACUUCUCAGCCUCCAUAAUCAUGAGAGCUAAUUUCCUCACCCAUCUCUCUCUCUACGGCCCUCAGUUGGCCUACCAAAGUGAGGCAGGUAAUGCCUCUACUGCUCUUGAAACUGCUUCCCGGAAACUGAUCAAAACGUGAAGCUCAGCAGUUUCUCUCCUUACUGACCAAACCCUGCAGAAGCCCCAGCACUAUUGUACCAGAGCAUGUUCCAUGUUUCUGAGUUUCAGUCUGGGGCUGUUUGCACGCUGUGGCAGCUGCCACCUGUUCACUAUCACUAAGGGCAGAGAGAAGGCACAACAUGGAAAUGCAGAGAAAAAGAACAUUUGUAAAACCUGCCCUUGACUAUUGUUACUCCAGGUGUACUCUCCAUUUCCAUCUAAAGUCCUGCAAAACUUCUUGUUUAGUCCUUCGGACACAGUUGUUUCUUUUCAUUGUGAUUUCAGUGGAGAAUCUGAAAAAGGCCGUUGUGAAGCAAGAUGUGAAGGAGGCGGCUGCUAGUCAUGAUUUUCCUGAACCAAACUGCAUACAGCGUAUUUGGUUAUCCGCCGGGACGGUAACCCUGGCAGCCACUCCUUGUGUGUCCUUCGGAGGAGGGCUCCUUACAUUCUCCAUGGCUUCAUUAAUAAACUGGCUGGAGGCUCAUUUUGUGUAUGAGGACGUAAUGAGACUGCGCAUGCCGAGUGUUGUGGCGUGGUCCUUGUCCCACUGAAAGGUGCUCCCUGGAGGUCAGCCUCAUUUCUCCUUCCCCCUUUCGCCCUUUCCCUUUUUCCUUCCCCAUCUCUUGCUUUUUCCCUUCUUGACUCAAGCCCGAGCUCCUGCAAGGCGUGGAGAGAAGCCUGCGCUGCCAGUUGCAGUAGGAGCAUCAUCUCCAAAGGGGGCGCUCUAACAUCAGGAAACAGGCCUUCAGGGACCUUGACUGUGUCUAUGAGGACUGUGCGCUGGUACCUAUGGCUGGACAUUUAAAAAAUGGCUUUUCUGAAAUCUUUGCCUUGAUAUGCUAUCAAUUUUUCCAGAUGCCUUUUCAAUAUCUGUCUACAGAACUGUAUGAAAUUAUAGUAAGUCCUACAGCUGGGGGGAUGACGAUAUGACAGACAUCUCUGGCUUGGAUGAAAGAAGCUGGCGACAUACUUCUGGCAGUGGGUCCGCUCUGGGGGACUGCCAAGCUGCAAGCCUCCCAAAUAGGGGACGCUGGGUGCACCUAAGUGGGAAGCUACCUGCACCUCUUGUCGCUGUCUUCCUUCCUCCAGGUCCGCCUUCAGGCAGGAGGCAGAUCUAGGCCGUACGCUUUUAGGCAGCACAGGGUGAGAGGCUGGCCAGGGUUUGCCUCCCUCUGCUAGACAGACCCCAGGGCCUUCAAGGUGGGACGAGGAGAGAAUAAGGCCCUGAAUAGCUUUUGUUAAGCUCUCCUGGACUGGAGAAAGCAGUUGUUAGGGGGGGCAAGAGGACAACACCUUUUCUAGAAAUUAGAAACCUCAACUCAUCAGCCUGUUGAGUGGUAGGAGGGAGGAUCUUGCAUCUCCAAAGGGCUCCUGACCACUCAUCUCAUUCCAUUUAUUACCUUUCAGGGUGCACAGGGCACAGGGAGCACAUUCCACUGAGUUCUUGAGAAAAAGGAUAUGAGAAAGGUGAAUAGCGCCUGGCAUGUAGGUGUCCCCCACGUGGGAAUGAGUGAGUGAACGCAAGCAUCUGAAACAAACUGAAAGCCUCCCUUCCUGUGGGGGUUUUCCCCUCUUUAAUUUAUACAGAUAAAAGGCUUAUUUAAUAGAGGGCUCUGAAGGCUGGGAAGUUCAAGGUCAUGGCCCUGACUUCUGGCCAGGGCUUUUGCACUGCCUCAUAACAUGGCAAAGAAGGUCAAAGGGUGGUAGAUACUUGCUAAGAGGUAAAACUCCAGCAGCCUUCUGGAAGAAAAGAAAAAACAAAAAAACGAAAAAAAAAAACAAAAAAACCCAGCCACUCUCAGGGGAAUGAAUCUGUUCCUGUGGGAACUAAUCCAGUCUGGCCACAGUGAGAAUGCAAUUCAUU
rnacentral:lncRNA from 10 species